AACGAACGCUGGCGGCAUGCCUAACACAUGCAAGUCGAACGAGACCUUCGGGUCUAGUGGCGCACGGGUGCGUAACGCGUGGGAACCUGCCCUUAGGUUCGGAAUAACUCCCCGAAAGGGGUGCUAAUACCGGAUAAUGUCUUCGGACCAAAGAUUUAUCGCCUUUGGAUGGGCCCGCGUUGGAUUAGCUAGUUGGUAGGGUAAAAGCCUACCAAGGCGACGAUCCAUAGCUGGUCUGAGAGGAUGAUCAGCCACACUGGGACUGAGACACGGCCCAGACUCCACGGGGGGGAGGAGGGGGGAAUUAUGGAAAAGGGGGGAAAAGCUUGACCAAACAGGCCGGGGGGAGAAAGAAGGGCUUGGGGUUUGAAAAGCUUUUUUCCCGGGAAUAAAAAGAAGAGACCGGGGAAAAGAAGCCCGGGAAACCCCGGUC
rnacentral:rRNA from 1 species